rnacentral:rRNA from 1 species
UACGUAGGGUGCAAGCGUUAAUCGGAAUUACUGGGCGUAAAGCGUGCGCAGGCGGUUUUGUAAGACAGGCGUGAAAUCCCCCGGGCUUAACCUGGGAAUGGCGCUUGUGACUGCAAAGCUGGAGUGCGGCAGAGGGGGAUGGAAUUCCGCGUGUAGCAGUGAAAUGCGUAGAUAUGCGGAGGAACACCGAUGGCGAAGGCAAUCCCCUGGGCCUGCACUGACGCUCAUGCACGAAAGCGUGGGGAGCAAACAGGAUUAGAUACCCCGGUAGU